UCUGCUGGGCCUCAGACUCAGAAACAGCCGUGUCACCACCCUGCUGUGUAUCGGCUCCCGCUUCCAUGGUCAUUUAGUUGGCUGGAAUGGCGGGUGGAGAACUCUGGAGAGCCUGUGAAUGUACGUUUUUACACAAAAUGUUAAAUAUUGGUAUGGGGGUGGAUUUAAUUCAGGGCUCUCCAACCCUGUUUCUGGAGAGAUAAAGUUCACGCCAAUCCUGUUCCUGGAGAUACCAUCCUGUAGGGUUUCGCUCCAACCCCAGUUGUAACUAACCUGAUUCAGCUUAUCAACCAGCUAACUAUUAGAAUCAGGUGCAUUGGAUUACAGUUGGAGCUAAAAACCUACAGGAUGGUAGCACUCCAGGAAGGUUGGUGUGAAACCCUUCAGGAUGGUAGCUCCCCAGGAAGAAGGUUGGUGUGAAACCCUACAGGAUGGUAGCUCUCCAGGAAGAAGGUUGGUGUGAAACCCUACAGGAUGGUAGCUCCCCAGGAAGAAGGUUGGUGUGAAACCCUACAGGAUGGUAGCUCUCCAGGAAGAAGGUUGGUGUGAAACCCUACAGGAUGGUAGCUCUCCAGGAAGAAGGUUGGUGUGAAACCCUACAGGAUGGUAGCUCUCCAGGAAGAAGGUUGGUGUGAAACCCUACAGGAUGGUAGCUCCCCAGGAAGAAGGUUGGUGUGAAACCCUACAGGAUGGUAGCUCCCCAGGAACAGGGUUGGUGUGAAACCCUACAGGAUGGUAGCUCUCCAGGAAGAAGGUUGGUGUGAAACCCUACAGGAUGGUAGCUCCCCAGGAAGAAGGUUGGUGUGAAACCCUACAGGAUGGUAGCUCUCCAGGAAGAAGGUUGGUGUGAAACCCUACAGGAUGGUAGCUCUCCAGGAAGAAGGUUGGUGUGAAACCCUACAGGAUGGUAGCUCUCCAGGAAGAAGGUUGGUGUGAAACCCUACAGGAUGGUAGCUCUCCAGGAAGAAGGUUGGUGUGAAACCCUACAGGAUGGUAGCUCUCCAGGAAGAAGGUUGGUGUGAAACCCUACAGGAUGGUAGCUCUCCAGGAAGAAGGUUGGUGUGAAACCCUACAGGAUGGUAGCUCUCCAGGAAGAAGGUUGGUGUGAAACCCUACAGGAUGGUAGCUCUCCAGGAAGAAGGUUGGUGUGAAACCCUACAGGAUGGUAGCUCUCCAGGAAGAAGGUUGGUGUGAAACCCUACAGGAUGGUAGCUCUCCAGGAAGAAGGUUGGUGUGAAACCCUACAGGAUGGUAGCUCUCCAGGAAGAAGGUUGGUGUGAAACCCUACAGGAUGGUAGCUCUCCAGGAAGAAGGUUGGUGUGAAACCCUACAGGAUGGUAGCUCUCCAGGAAGAAGGUUGGUGUGAAACCCUACAGGAUGGUAGCUCUCCAGGAACAGGGUUGGUGUGAAACCCUACAGGAUGGUAGCUCUCCAGGAACAGAGAUGGUGUGAAACCCUACAGGAUGGUAGCUCUCCAGGAACAGAGAUGGUGUGAAACCCUACAGGAUGGUAGCUCCCCAG